AUUGAACGCUGGCGGCAUGCUUUACACAUGCAAGUCGAUCGGUAACAGGCCGCAAGGUGCUGACGAGUGGCGAACGGGUGAGUAAUGCAUCGGAACGUGCCCAGUCGUGGGGGAUAACGCAGCGAAAGCUGUGCUAAUACCGCAUACGAUCUAUGGAUGAAAGCGGGGGACCGUAAGGCCUCGCGCGAUUGGAGCGGCCGAUGUCAGAUUAGGUAGUUGGUGGGGUAAAGGCUCACCAAGCCAACAAUCGGUAGCUGGUCUGAGAGGACGACCAGCCACACUGGGACUGAGACACGGCCCAGACUCCUACGGGAGGCAGCAGUGGGGAAUUUUGGACAAUGGGCGCAAGCCUGAUCCAGCAAUGCCGCGUGCAGGAAGAAGGCCUUCGGGUUGUAAACUGCUUUUGUACGGAACGAAAAGGUUUGGGUUAAUACCCUGGGCCGAUGACGGUACCGUAAGAAUAAGCACCGGCUAACUACGUGCCAGCCGCCGCCGUAA
rnacentral:rRNA from 1 species